rnacentral:misc_RNA from 1 species
GGCAGGAUCACCAGGUAGCAUUCCUCAACGACGUCGUCACCGCACGGCCGGGCCGAGACGGGAGCGACGGUCGUGCACCAUUGGUGUCUAAUGCAUGCUCGGGCAACAAUAAGAGGCCGCGUGACCUCGAUGCCCUCAUUGUUUUCCCUAUCCAAGAGUCGAGCGAUGCCCCGUUCACCGCGACUGC